rnacentral:rRNA from 1 species
AUUGAACGCUGGUGGCACGCUUAACACAUGCAAGUCGGACGGCAGCAUGACCUAGCUUGCUAGGUUGAUGGCGAGUGGCGGACGGGUGAGUAAAGCGUAGGAACCUACCCUUGAGACGGGGACAACUUGGGGAAACUCGGGCUAAUACCGGAUAAGACCUUAGGGUGAAAGGGUGCGAAAGCACUCGCUGAAGGAUGGGCCUACGUUAGAUUAGCUGGAUGGUGAGGUAAAGGCUCACCAUGGCGACGAUCUAUAGCGGGUCUGAGAGGAAGGCCAGCCAGACGGGAACUGAGGCACGGUCCAGAAGCCUACGGGAGGCAGAAGUGGGGAAUAUUGGACAAGGGGGGCAACCCUGAUCCAGCGAUGCCACGUGUGAGAAGAAGGCCUUAGGGUUGUAAAGCACUUUUGUCAGUGAGGAAGGUUGUUACUGCGAAUAGUGGUAAUGAUACUAUCGAGGGAUGACGCUACCCAAAUAAGAAGCACCGGCUAACUCUGUGCCAGCAGCCGCCGUAA